rnacentral:rRNA from 1 species
GGCUCAGGACGAACGCUGGCGGCGUGCUUAACACAUGCAAGUCGAGCGGAAAGGCUUCCUUCGGGAAGUACUCGAGCGGCGAACGGGUGAGUAACACGUGGAUAAUCAACCUCUUGCUCUGGAAUACCCCGGGGAAACUCGGAUCAAUGCCAGAUAAAGUGCGGCGCUGUCGGGUGCCGUACCAAAGAUAGCUUCGGCCUUCGGCGAGAGACGAGUCCGCGGCCCAUUAGCUAGUUGGCGGGGUAAUGGCCCACCAAGGCUACGAUGGGUAGCUGGUCUGAGAGGAUGAUCAGCCACACUGGGACUGAGACACGGCCCAGACUCCUACGGGAGGCAGCAGUGGGGAAUCUUGCGCAAUGGGCGAAAGCCUGACGCAGCAACGCCGCGUGCGGGAGGAAGGCCUUCGGGUUGUAAACCGCUUUCAGGGGAGACGAAGCUUCCAGGGUGAAUAGCUCUGCGGAGUGACGGUAUCUUCAGGAGAAGUCCCGGCUAACUACGUGCCAGCAGCCGCGGUGAUACGUAGGGGACAAGCGUUGUCCGGAAUUAUUGGGCGUAAAGCGCGUGUAGGCGGCCAAGUAAGUCUUACGUGAAAUCCUGAGGCUCAACCUCAGGCCUGCGCGGGAUACUGCUUGGCUAGAGUCCGGAAGAGGAGAGUGGAAUUCCUGGUGUAGCGGUGGAAUGCGCAGAUAUCAGGAGGAACAUCCGUGGCGAAGGCGGCUCUCUGGGACGGUACUGACGCUGAGACGCGAAAGCGUGGGGAGCGAACAGGAUUAGAUACCCUGGUAGUCCACGCCGUAAACGAUGGGCGCUAGGUGUGGGAGGUGUCGAUUCCUUCCGUGCCGAAGCUAACGCAUUAAGCGCCCCGCCUGGGGAGUACGGGUCGCAGACUAAAACU